UACGGAGGGGGCUAGCGUUGUUCGGAAUUACUGGGCGUAAAGCGCGCGUAGGCGGACCUGCAAGUCGGGGGUGAAAGCCCGAGGCUCAACCUCGGAACUGCCUUCGAUACUGCGGGUCUCGAGUCCGGGAGAGGUGAGUGGAAUUCCUAGUGUAGAGGUGAAAUUCGUAGAUAUUAGGAAGAACACCAGUGGCGAAAGCGGCUCUCUGGAACGGUACUGACGCUGAGACGCGAAAGCGUGGGGGAGCGAAACAGGG
rnacentral:rRNA from 1 species